rnacentral:lncRNA from 1 species
GUGCAGUACAGUGGUCUGUAUACUAGGGUCUGCAGAUGUGUCCGGUAGUACAUGGUGGUCUGGUCUAGUACAGAGUGGUCUGGUAGUAGAGUUGUCUGGUAGUACCUGGUGGUCUGGUAGGCGUAGUUACAGAGUGGUCUUGUAGUACCGAGUGGUCUGGUCAGUACCUGGCAGUCUGGUAGUACAGAGUGGUCUGGUAGUACAGAGUGGUCUGGUAGUACAGAGUGGUCUGCUAGUACAGAGUGGUGGUAGUCGAGGUCUGUGUAGAGGGUCUGGUAGUAACGAGUGGUCUGGUAGUACAGAGUGGUCUGGUCGUACAGAGUGGUCUGCUAGUACAGAGUGGUCUGGUUAGUACCUGGUGUGUCUGGUAGUACCGAGUGGUCUGUUGGUUGUACAGAGUGGGUCUGCUAGUACAGGUGGUCUGCUAGUAGAGUGGUCUGGUAGUACCUGGUGGUUGUGUACUUUAGAGUGGUCUUGGUAGUACAGAGUGGUCUGGUAGUACAGAGUGUUGGUCAGUGGUUGGU